rnacentral:rRNA from 1 species
AUUGAACGCUGGCGGCAUGCUUUACACAUGCAAGUCGAACGGCAGCGCGGGCUUCGGCCUGGCGGCGAGUGGCGAACGGGUGAGUAAUACAUCGGAACGUGCCCAGUAGUGGGGGAUAGCUCGGCGAAAGCCGGAUUAAUACCGCAUACGACCUGAGGGUGAAAGCGGGGGAUCUUCGGACCUCGCGCUAUUGGAGCGGCCGAUGGCAGAUUAGCUAGUUGGUGGGGUAAAGGCCUACCAAGGCGACGAUCUGUAGCUGGUCUGAGAGGACGACCAGCCACACUGGGACUGAGACACGGCCCAGACUCCUACGGGAGGCAGCAGUGGGGAAUUUUGGACAGUGGGUGAAAGCCUGAUCAAGCAAUGCCGCGUGUGUGAUGAAGGCCUUCGGGUUGUAAAGCACUUUUGGCGGGAACGAAAAGGACUGUGCCAAUACCACGGUUCGAUGACGGUACCCGAAGAAUAAGCACCGGCUAACUACGU